UGAAGAGAAACCAGAGACAUAAU
rnacentral:snRNA from 1 species